GGAAAUCUCCCUAACCAAGGUCUCGUAACUAGCAUUCCUGUGGUGAGAAGAGAUUGUUUAAAUACGAUUUUAUUGUUAAGAUGAUUGAUCUGAUUGGCUUCAUUCUCAGCAAGCUCUCUUCACAUGGAGGGAAAGAAGCUCCUGGCAGCCACACGUUCGUGUGGUGGUUACAGUUCAUGAUCUCCGGAGGAGAAAGACUUCCAACAUUCCCACCCCUCUCUGGACAGCGACUCUGCUUGGCUCCAUUUGGGUCACGUGCCCACCUCUGGACCCAUCACUGUCACCUGGAAACAGGAAUAACUUCCGCCAUUCUCUUGGCCAAUAAUAGCCAAGAUGAAUCAAGAUAUGAUGAAACAGCAAAGCAGCAAGCCAAUGAUAAGACAUAAAUCACGGUGUUUUCCUGUCCAGGAAUAAUGUCUCAUUGUGCUGGAACUAUCAAUAGCAAAUUCCAUCAAAUGCCAAAUAAACAGCCAGGGAAACAGCAUGAAGCAACCACGGCAAGAUGAGGAAACCGAGGCAAAAAGAGAUUAAGUAUCUUGCCCAAGGUCACAUAGCAGCAGAGUGAGAAGUCAAUCCCAGGUGGCCUGGCUCUGAUGUCACUCAUGAUCUUUACUAUGUUAUACUGCAAAC
rnacentral:lncRNA from 1 species